GAUGAACGCUGGCGGCGCGCCUAAUACAUGCAAGUCGAGCGAACAGACGAGGAGCUUGCUCCUCUGACGUUAGCGGCGGACGGGUGAGUAACACGUGGAUAACCUACCUAUAAGACUGGGAUAACUUCGGGAAACCGGAGCUAAUACCGGAUAAUAUAUUGAACCGCAUGGUUCAAUAGUGAAAGACGGUUUUGCUGUCACUUAUAGAUGGAUCCGCGCCGCAUUAGCUAGUUGGUAAGGUAACGGCUUACCAAGGCAACGAUGCGUAGCCGACCUGAGAGGGUGAUCGGCCACACUGGAACUGAGACACGGUCCAGACUCCUACGGGAGGCAGCAGUAGGGAAUCUUCGGCAAUGGGCGAAAGCCUGACGGAGCAACGCCGCGUGAGUGAUGAAGGUCUUCGGAUCGUAAAACUCUGUUAUUGGGGAAGAACAAAUGUGUAAGUAACUAUGCACGUCUUGACGGUACCUAAUCAGAAAGCCACGGCUAACUACGUG
rnacentral:rRNA from 1 species